UUUGUUUCUCUGUAAAUUACAAAAGGAAACUUCCCUUGGUAGACGUUGCAGAUAGCCAUAACCACCUCGCAGCCGCCCGAUACUUGGAUACGAUAAUUAAUUUAAAGAUCACGUUGAAGCAGGAACUGAAGAAGAUUGAAGAAGGUCGGUCAUGGGUCAUCAUCUGCAUCCUCAUCAAUAUUAUACUCACGGCCAAUAUCAUCCUCAUCCUCAUCCUCAUCCUCAUUCUCAUCCUGCAUUGAUCUCGAGUUGUUGUUUAUUCAGUUGUAUUGGAAGAUGGAUGUUCGCGAUUUGUCACCCAGUCGUGCGUUUCUUUGGAUGGGAGGAUGAUCGAGCAUGUACAACUUCUAAUUAAGCUUAAUUCUUCGUUUAUUUAAUUUAUAAGAAUGCAAAGUUUGCAUGUAAUUAAUUAGUUCAAAUGAUCAUGGAGUAGUAGUUUUGUGGA